rnacentral:rRNA from 1 species
AGAUUGAACGCUGGCGGCAUGCCUUACACAUGCAAGUCGAACGGCAGCACGGACUUCGGUCUGGUGGCGAGUGGCGAACGGGUGAGUAAUAUAUCGGAACGUACCCUGGAGUGGGGGAUAACGCAGCGAAAGUUGCGCUAAUACCGCAUACGAUCUACGGAUGAAAGUGGGGGCUCGCAAGACCUCAUGCUCGUGGAGCGGCCGAUAUCUGAUUAGCUAGUUGGUAGGUAAAAGCCUACCAAGGCAUCGAUCAGUAGCUGGUCUGAGAGGACGACCAGCCACACUGGACUGAGACACGGCCCAGACUCCGUACGGGAGGCAGCAGGUAGGGGAAUUUUUGGAACAGUGGGGGACCAACCCGUGACGUCCGAGCAAUGCCGCGUGAGUAGAAGAGGCCUUACGGUAGUAA